rnacentral:rRNA from 1 species
CAUAAGGGAAAAUAAUGAUAUUACCUUAUUAUUAGUGUCGUCCAAAACUGGUGCCAGAAGACUCGGUAAGGCCAGAGACACAAACGUUAAUCGUCUUAAUCAGGCGUAAAGGGUUUGUAGGCGGCUUUUAAUUUAGGUAAAAAUAUUUUAAGUAAAGAAUAAAAGCUAGAAUCAAAUAGAGGAUAUAUGAAAGAAUGCUUAGAGUAGGUCCGAUAUCCUUAGAUACUAAGUAGAAUAUUAAAGGCGAAAGCUUUUUUCCAUUAAUGAUUGACGCUCAGAAACGAAGGUGAGGAUAGGAAAUAGGAUUAGAUACCCAGAAUACCCCUCUCUGUAAACGAUGAAUGGUAGUUAUUAGUAAAAAUUAUUAAUGGCAAUGUUAACACGAUAACCAUUCCGCCUUGUGAGUACAACUGCAAAGUUGAAAACAAAAAAAUUAGUCGGUUUCGGAGCAAACGAAGUGAAGCAUGUUAUUUAA